rnacentral:rRNA from 1 species
UGAGGUAGCGGCUCACCAAGGCUACGAUCGGUAGCUGGUCUGAGAGGAUGAUCAGCCACAUUGGGACUGAGACACGGCCCAAACUCCUACGGGAGGCAGCAGUGGGGAAUAUUGGACAAUGGGCGCAAGCCUGAUCCAGCCAUGCCGCGUGAGUGAUGAAGGCCUUAGGGUUGUAAAGCUCUUUUGCCCGGGAAGAUAAUGACUGUACCGGAAGAAUAAGCCCCGGCUAACUUCGUGCCAGCAGCCGCGGUAAUACGAAGGGGNNNNNCGUUGUUCGGAAUCACUGGGCGUAAAGCGCANNNNNGCGGACCGUUAAGUCGGAGGUGAAAGCCUGGGGCUCNNNNCCAGAACUGCCUUCGNNNCUGGNNNUCUUGAGNNNNGUAGAGGUUGGUGGAACUCCNAGUGUANNNGUGAAAUUCGUAGAUAUUCGGAAGAACACCAGUGGCGAAGGCGGCCAACUGGACCAUUACUGACGCUGAGGUGCGAAAGCGUNGGGAGCAAACAGGAUUAGAUACCCUGGUAGUCCACGCUGUAAACGAUGAGAGCUAGCCGUUGGGGUGCAUGCACCUCAGUGGCGCAGCUAACGCGUUAAGCUCUCCGCCUGGGGAGUACGGUCGCAAG